GGUAGAGUAGUCGCCCAUUCCUAGCUGGCCUGUCACGCCAGAGGUCGCGAGUUCGAGUCUCGUCACUCCCGCCA
rnacentral:tRNA from 1 species